rnacentral:rRNA from 1 species
UACGUAGGGGGCAAGCGUUGUCCGGAUUUACUGGGCGUAAAGGGCGUGCAGGCGGUGCAGGAAGUUUAGCGUGACAGUUCCCGGCUUAACCGGGGAAGGCCGCUGAAAACUCCUGGACUUGAGGACCAGAGAGGGACAUAGAAUUCCGGGUGGAGUGGUGAAAUGCGUAGAUAUCCGGAGGAAUACCAAAGGCGAAGGCAGUGUCCUGGCUGGUAACUGACGCUGAGGCGCGAAAGCUAGGGGAGCGAACAGG